UCUCGUGGGCUUCAAACUGCUGAAACUACCUAAAUGGCGGAAAGCCCCAGUCCUAAGUAUUCAAAUACUUUUUAAAAACUUUUUUGUUAGCAAGUAUUCUAGUAUGUUUCACAUUCAUGGUGUAUAAGCUUAUCAGCGAGAAAUCCGUCGAUUCUAUUAGACUUAUUCGGGUUAAAAAGUGUCAAACAAGUUCGUUAAUAUUGCUAACUAUAUUCCAGGAAACAACUGGUCACCUCAGCUCCUACGGUUACUCAGUUACUCAGAUACUUCCUUCGGCCGGCAAAACACGCCGAGCAUUUCCCUGUCCCUGUAUAGGUGCUCGUGCGUGGAACAAUAAACUGGGAAAUACUGAUAGGUCAAGGGGAACAAAAAGGCGGAAAUAACCAAAAUGACGGAAACCGAAAAAACAUGUUUUCGGCAAGGGCUUUUUUAUUUUUAUUUACAUUGAAACUUGCAUACACCAGCAAGAAAUACGUAAAUCCUUAUAGAGGCUUUUUCGUGUGAAAAAGUCAUUUAGAUUUUAAAUUUUUAAAUGUUGCUUUAAUUUAUCCCAGGGCCACCUACUUCUACAUAGCAGGUUCUUAGCCCAAACACAUUAUGUGUGACAGAGGCCAGAAUGUAUGCGUAGGAGAUGAAUCCUAGGUUUGAAGACUUCGGCGCGAAUAAUUAAUCAGCGGUAAGAACCUUUGGGAGCGGCUGCAAAGACCGCCGGGUCCCCAAAUCGUCGUACGACCAGGCUGAGAAAAUCGACCAGAAGAAAGUUACGCCUGAAAGUUUACUGAAACAAUUGGAUAAUUUCUAAAAUCAGAAGUUGACGAAAUCGGAAGAGCACCAGAUAAUGGAGUGUUGGGAGUUCCUGGGAUGCGACUUAGGAUACUUAAAAAUUCCUUGCCUCGGGGGAUAGAAAUUCAAGUCUUUUGGAAAGAUGAAACCAGUGGCGAUGCCAUACUUUUGAUCGGUAUAAGUUGGUGUGUCAUAUUUAAUUGACAAUUGCUGGCUGUAACAGAUGACUCCAAAAUGACUGUCUCUAUUCCAGUUGAGUUUAGAAAAUAUAAGUAUAAGUAUGUAUCAUUAUUCUACAGACCUACAGAUUACUGUGUCUAGCACUCCAAGCAAAAAAUUGGACUAUGACUAAUAGUGCAAAUGCAAUAAAAGGUAUAGCUCCAUUGUUAUCAGGACAUGGCCAUGACUAAUGUAAGCCCAAAAACCUGUAGCAGUGGUCAGUGUGGUUAAACAUAGAAAGUCUAUUAGAGACAUUAGAUAGAAUUAUUAGCUGAGAACAUUUACUCAAUACUGUAUAACCUCAUGGUAAAUAUAAAGGAAAUAUCUUAUCCCUGUCAAAUGUUUAAUUUUCUUAUAAAUGUUACCUUGUGUCAUUAUUAUCAUUUCCAUUUGAGACUAUAAAAAGCAGUCUGCGCAGCAGUCGAGUAGGCCGAAGGCCUACGAGACGGAACCAGUGGGCGAUGCCGUACUUGCCAAAACGAAGCCUUUUGAUUGGUAACGAAGCCUUUUGAUUGGGCAUGCUGUAGUAAAUUAAAAUUAUAAUUAGCUACGAGCAUUAACUCAAUACUGUAAAAUGCUCAUGGUAAAUAAAAAGUUUAUAUAUGAGGAA